rnacentral:rRNA from 1 species
CCUACGGGAGGCAGCAGUAGGGAAUCUUUCACAAUGGGCGAAAGCCUGAUGGAGCAACGCCGCGUGCAGGAUGAAGGCCUUCGGGUUGUAAACUGCUUUUAUAAGCGAGAAAUAUGAUGGUAACUUAUGAAUAAGGAUCGGCUAACUACGUGCCAGCAGCCGCGGUCAUACGUAGGAUCCGAGCAUUAUCCGGAGUGACUGGGUGUAAAGAGUUGCGUAGCUGGCAUAAUAAGUAGCUAGUGAAAUCUGGUGGCUCAACCAUUCAGACUAUUAGCUAAACUGUUAAGCUCGAGACCGUUAGGGGUAACUGGAAUUUCUAGUGUAGGAGUGAAAUCCGUAGAUAUUAGAAGGAACACCAAUAGCGUAGGCAGGUUGCUGGGACGGUUCUGACACUAAGGCACGAAAGCGUAGGGAGCAAACGGGAUUAGAUACCCCUGUAGUC